UAGGGAAUCUUCCGCAAUGGGCGAAAGCCUGACGGAGCAACGCCGCGUGAGUGAUGAAGGUCUUCGGAUCGUAAAACUCUGUUAUUAGGGAAGAACAAAUGUGUAAGUAACUAUGCACGUCUUGACGGUACCUAAUCAGAAAGCCACGGCUAACUACGUGCCAGCAGCCGCGGUAAUACGUAGGUGGCAAGCGUUAUCCGGAAUUAUUGGGCGUAAAGCGCGCGUAGGCGGUUUUUUAAGUCUGAUGUGAAAGCCCACGGCUCAACCGUGGAGGGUCAUUGGAAACUGGAAAACUUGAGUGCAGAAGAGGAAAGGGGAAUUCCAUGUGUAGCGGUGAAAUGCGCAGAGAUAUGGAGGAACACCAGUGGCGAAGGCGACUUUCUGGUCUGUAACUGACGCUGAUGUGCGAAAGCGGGGGGAUCAAACAGG
rnacentral:rRNA from 1 species